rnacentral:misc_RNA from 1 species
UAGAGUUGCAAAACUCCCUUAAACCCUUGUGAACCUACCUAUACGUCGUUGCUUCGGCGGGUAGCCCCUUUCCCGGGGCCACGCCUCUUCAUUGAGGUGCCCGCCGGAGGACCACCUAUAAACUCUUGUAAUCAGUGGCCUCUCUGAGUAAUUAUCAAAUAAGUUA